rnacentral:misc_RNA from 1 species
AAGAAAACUUAAAGGGGUUGAUGUUUUGUAUGAUCCAGUUGGAGGAAAGUUGACAAAAGAUUCAAUGAAACUUCUAAAUUGGAGUGCAAACAUUCUUGUGAUCGGGUUCGCCAGCGGGGAGAUCCCUGUUAUUCCCACGAAUAUCGCUCUUGUUAAGAACUGGACAGUUCAUGGACUUUAUUGGGGCAGCUACAAUAUACAUAGACCUCAAAUUCUUGAAGGGUCUAUGAAUGAGCUAUUAUCCUGGUUAUCGAGCGGAUUGAUCCGCGUUCACAUUUCUCACAUCUAUAGCCCAAUAGAGGCCAACCUUGCCUUUUAUGCCAUAAAGAAUAGAGAAGCUGUUGGGAAAGUGGUGUUGGUUUUUGACGACAAAACUGUGAAAUCGAAGCUGUAACUUACUCGGGGAUUCGACAUGGAUGUGAUGAAGAAAUAAUAGCUAUAAUGUACUGAAACUAAAACAAAUAUGGGGCAUAAAGAUUUGAAUCUUUGAUUUCAAAAAACGAAUCCAGGUCAACAUUGCUAAGUUAUGUUACAAAUAAAUUGAAAUUUGUUAGUUCACGAGGAGUGUUUGUCUGUCUUUAGAAAUAAGACUUUCAAACAUAGAAGAAACUAAUGGUGUAUUUUGCCACGAUUACCACAAAUUGGACAUAAUGUUCUAUGAUAUUUAUGGCUAUAAUAAA